UAGGGAAUCUUCCACAAUGGACGCAAGUCUGAUGGAGCAACGCCGCGUGAGUGAAGAAGGUUUUCGGAUCGUAAAGCUCUGUUGUUGGUGAAGAAGGAUAGAGGUAGUAACUGGCCUUUAUUUGACGGUAAUCAACCAGAAAGUCACGGCUAACUACGUGCCAGCAGCCGCGGUAAUACGUAGGUGGCAAGCGUUGUCCGGAUUUAUUGGGCGUAAAGCGAGCGCAGGCGGAAGAAUAAGUCUGAUGUGAAAGCCCUCGGCUUAACCGAUGAACUGCAUCGGAAACUGUUUUUCUUGAGUGCAGAAGAGGAGAGUGGAAUUCCAUGUGUAGCGGUGGAAUGCGUAGAUAUAUGGAAGAACACCAGUGGCGAAGGCGACUCUCUGGUCUGCAACUGACGCUGAGGCUCGAAAGCAUGGGUAGCGAACAGG
rnacentral:rRNA from 1 species